rnacentral:rRNA from 1 species
CAAAAACAUCUCUUUCAGCGAGUUCGUGAGUUGAAGGUAGGGCCUGCCCGGUGCGGAAGGUUUAACGGCGGUGUUGGCCUUAAAGUAGCGUGAUAAGUCGGCCUCUAAUUGGGGUCUGGGAAGAAUGGUUUGACGUGGUUGUGACUGUCUCCGCUGCAGAUGCUUAAAUUUUCUUCUAGGUGAAAAGACUUAGUUAGAAGUAAAAGACGAGAAGACCCCGAUGAGCUUGGGGUACUAUUAAGCUUCUGAAAAAGUUGUUUAGUAGUUAUGUUUAAUUGGGGUAAUUGGGGAGUAGAAGAAACCUCCUCCUUUAAAACGGGGAUCCUUUGAGGGAAGAGACAGGGAAAAAGUUACCACGGGGAUAACAGCGUGAUUUCCACUUAAAGACCUUAUUAAAGUGGGUGUUGACGACCUCGAUGUUGGAUUAAGGUGUCUCUGCGGCGCAGAAGCUGUAGUAGUAAGUCUGUUCGACUUUUAAAACCUUACAUGA